UACAGAGGGUGCGAGCGUUGUCCGGAAUCACUGGGCGUAAAGGGCGCGUAGGCGGCUUGAUAAGCGUGCGGUGAAAGCCCGGGGCUCAACCCCCGGGUCGGCCGUGCGAACUGUCGAGCUGGAGCACUGUAGAGGCAGGUGGAAUUCCGGGUGUAGCGGUGGAAUGCGUAGAGAUCCGGAAGAACACCGGUGGCGAAGGCGGCCUGCUGGGCAGUGGCUGACGCUGAGGCGCGACAGCGUGGGGGAGCAAACAGG
rnacentral:rRNA from 1 species